AUGAGGAAUUCUGCAAAACAGAGCCUUGACACCACAGUAUUAUUUGCUCAUUCACCAAGCACUGCUGGCACUUCUUAUUUUUGGAGAUCGAAUGUGCCUCUGUGGGCACUGGAGCAACCGCACAAAGGAUCCUGGAAUAGCAGGGCUGGUGGCGGGGGGGGGGGGGGGGGGGGGAGGGGGUGUCCAAGGGUGGAAUCUGAGGCUUGGGUCCUGGACAUCUGCCUCCUCCCCAUUUUUAGAGAUGUGCUCCUGGGUCAUUUACCCAACCAUCAGAGCUGGCACGUAUGGAGGGCCCACUGCAUGCCAGACACAAUUCAAAGCGCCUUCCUGACACCUCCAUCGUGGAUGUGGGACCCUGGGGUGACCGGGCUGGGUUUUCUCCGGGAGCUGUCUGCUGAGCUCAGGGUACGUGAAGAUCUCCUCCAUCAAAGAAAAUCCGUUGAGCACGAAGUUGAUCUACAGUCUGUCAAAAAAUCGUUUAGCAGCCCACAGACAGCUUCUCUGACAAGGGUGAUAGCUACCUCUAAAGAAUGGGUUUCCUGGGGCGCCUGGAUGGCCCAGUCAGUUAAGCGUCUGCCUUCAGCUCGGGUCAUGAUCUCGAGGUCCUGGGACGGAGCCCCUUGUCCUGGGAUCGAGUCCUGCAUGGUGCUCCCUGCUGAGCAGGGAGUCUGCUUCUCCCUCUCCCUCUGCCACCUGCCCCUGGCUUGUGCUCUCUCUGCCUCUCUCAAAUAAAUAAAAUCUUAAAAAAAUAAAAAUAAAUAAAAACAUAAAUCAUAUCAUGUCUCUCUCUCUCUUUAAAAGAACGAGUUUCCUGGGGGGGCUGGCAAAUAUUCCGAAGGCAAGGCUCAGGUAAGGGUGUGGCUUCACACUCUGGUGACAGGACAUGGAAUUAAACAAAUAAACAAACAAAAACUAUCUUAGAAUUGAGUGUUCUAUUUUUUUUUUUUUUUUUAGGAUCGAGUGUUCUAAAAACGAGAGCUUGGGUGCCCAGUCGGUGGCUGCACUAUCUUACUUAACCCUUAUGACAACCGUGUCGUCACCGCCACCAACCAAUGGCGCCACUUACAGAGAGGAGGUUGGCACCACCAGGCGACCAGGCUUUUUGUGUUCUUACCUCUCCACCUCCUCCCUGGCCUGGAACUUCCGUCCUUAAAGAUUCAAGAUGAGCAUCUGUUGUUAGAUUUCGGAAUCCGGUUAGGGGUCUAGGCUCCAGCACUCCCCGGGGAGGCAGGGGCAGCAUAAGGCCCUGUGGAUAAUGGUGCAUUGUGCCGAGGAUGGAGUAUGAACAGCUGAAUAUCAGUGGUCAUUCUCUAAGAAUCCUCGGGUUUUUUAAUGUGCCAUGAGAUUGCAUUAUUCUGGAAUAAUCCUGAAAUAAGAUAAAAUACCUAUCAUAAAGUAAGUAACACAAAGCUUACCGAAGCAGGUUUGUAUACUGUUCACUACACUUUGGCUGUCGCCUGAUGGCCGGAGGGCUCUAUUUUUCCAGAGGUGGCCAGGGCCAUGCGAACUCAGCCUUCCUCCCUAACCCCCUAACCUGAUAAGUUUUUGUUUGUUUGCUUGUUUUUUACCAAUGUCAACUGCCCUUUGUAGCGGCACUCUGAAUGUGGAUCCCUUCACUGGCUGGGAAGGUGUGAUUGAGGGGCCAUGUGCGUCCCAACCUGAAGAUGUGACAGGCCACAGCCUUGUGGGCCAAGCCUUGUGGGCCAGUAGCCCCUAGCCCCCCUCUGAGGGGUGGGGAUUACGAUUACACCCUGCAGCCCCCACCUGGUGGAGAGGGAACAGUCAGGCUCUUGGGGGGGAGUGCGGUCAGCCCAGGUGGGUUGGCUUUGGCAGGCCAUGUGGGUUGGGUGUCCCCUGCUGGGGCAGCCACAGAGCCAGCGGGGACCCCAGACUCCAAGCAGCAGCCACUUCCUCCCGAGCCCUGGAUCUCAGUUCCUACAGCCCUUUCCCCUGCUCCGGGAGACUUGUUUAAUGUUUCAUUAAGCUCCUUUGGACCUGAAAAAUGUAAUUCUAAUUAGUACAGUGGCUUCCCUGGGAAUGCCAUUUGCCAGGCUCGAGGAACCUCUGAUGGGUGUGUUAAUUUGCAUGAGGGUCCUUGGGACUGUCUCAGCCACCAUGCAGGCAUGCAUGCUGGUUCCACCCCGGCUCUUUAAUCAGAAGUGCUGGCAGCGGCUCUAACUUCUCUGAGAUGAGUGAGAGGUAGGCCAACACCCCCUCCACCUGUCACCUGUCACCACUGACUGGCCUGUGAGAGGUAGGCCAACACCCCCUCCACCUGUCACCACUGACUGGCCCACAAGAGGGGAAGGAUCCUUCUCUGCUCUCACAAUUCCAGAGGCCCAACCCGAGGACAUAGGACCUCUCUGCCUUCCCGUUCUCCACAGCCACUGCACACGUGUCUGUCCAGCCCCCCACUUACUUAUCCAACAAGUUCUCAAGCAUCCUCUCUGUGCUGGGCCCUCUGCUGGGGAGGCAGUGAAGUCCCAUUCUGGGACGGGAGACAGGGCACACACAGAGAGACAAGACUCUGCAACGCCAGGGAGCGAAGCAGGACCAGGGAGG
rnacentral:lncRNA from 1 species